GCAUAAUUUUAGUUUUAUAUAAGACAAUUACAUUGAAUCUAUGGUUUUAUUUGUCACGUUUAAUGAGUUAUUGUUUUUAAUCCAUAUAAUAUAAUUGUCUGAUGAAAGCAAUGAGGUCCCUUGAUCCUCCUGUGCCGUUCAGUUCAGCAAUGUCGACCGUUCCAACAUCACUGUCUUGCUGCUGUGGUCGCUCUGGCCCGCCGUUAGUCUAAUCUCCUGACGAGUGAGUUGACAUCCAAAGCAUUUCGGCCGUCCGUCCAUUUCUGGAAAUCAAUUUAUGGUAGAAGGUCAAUUCAGGCAAAUGCAUUUCCACUCCAAAUAUAUUUGCGGGUCAAUCCCUCCACAGCCACACCAAUUUAUACGUCAGAAAAAAAAAAUUCAACAAAAAUUCAUUUUUGGUCAAUUCAUACCAAUUAUACUUUUUUAUUAUUUAUUUUUUCUAUUUUCUUUGUCUUUUCUUGCUUUUAUCAUUUUUUAACUUAAAUUGAUAAUAUUUUGUUUGAUGUUUCAAUUCCAAAAUUAUCUUUUGCCUCUCCCUUCUCUUUCUUUCUUUUGCCCUUUUCUUUCAUCUUCAUUGUAUAUGUUAUUUGAAUUCAUGCCUAACAUCGUUAUAAUUUUUAUUAUAGUGAUUUAUUUAUUUUCUAUAAUUCCUUUUGCUUUCCUUCUUUUUAUUAUUCUUUAUUAAAUUUAUAAUUUUCUAUUGAUUUAAAUUAAUUUAAUAACAAAAUAUACUUUUACCUCAACAAUUAUAUUUUUCUCUCCUUUUUAUUAUUGCCUAUAUAAAUUUAUGAUUAUUAAUGUAUUAAUUUAAAUUAAUUCAAUAAUAAAAAUAUUUUUACCUCAAUAAUGAUAAUGAGACGUAUAAAAUACAUCCAAAAUCAACCCAACUAAAAUAACUCAACACUUUCUUCUAAAAAAAAAACACUCAACAACUUUAAAUUUUUUUAACCCAACCAGAAAGCCCCAAACAUAUUAAAUCCAAAUUUAAAAAAAGUGUAGAAACCCACCCAAACAAAACCCAAUACACUGAAUUUAAAAACCCAGACCCAAAAAACCAAGACCAACCCAAUUUCCUUCCACCACCCUCCGAACAAACUGUUGAAGGUCAAUACCAAAUCCCUCACAUGGCAGUCCCUAAAUCCCCUGCACUACAACAAAAUUUUCGGCCACUGAGCAUAAAACUUCUGGAGCUACUCUACUAGCUAUCAAUUUCUCUUCACAAUCUCAAACAGAAAUUUGAUUAAUAAGUGAAUGAUUUUUUGGUUUAAGCUCACUUAUUUAGAAUCGAAUGAGAAUCAUCUUUACCUUAUCGAAAUUCUAAUAGCUAUUUGUUUAGAAUGUGAAGCUAUCAGAGCUUUAAUGCUAUAUUGCAGUCCUUCCAAUAGUAGUUACUAUUCUAGGAAUCAUUUUUUAGGACGCAUCUUGGUAUAGACAAAUCUCCCCAUACCGAUGUUGCUCUUGUUGGUACCCAUUCCAAGCCAUCAAACCAGAAAUCAUGAGCUAAAUUUUGUAAGAAUUAUCACUAAAAACGUCCCAACUUUUCUGAUUGCCCUACGAUGUCAUAAGGUUGGGCAUAUUAUUGAGAAUUGUCACCUGUGUUCACCUAAAUCAAAAAGUGAUACCUUUAAAGGGAGAUUUCUUAAUAUCUAGAUCUUUAUCCAUUGUCACUCAUACAUUUAAGGGCAUCGAUAUGGAGACUUUAUUAAAAUAAAUUAUUUUUUUUGAGCUGCUUUUUUUCAUACUACUUUCUCUUUUACUCUAGGUGAUUUAUUUUCGCUCCUUGAUUAUACUUGUUGUAAUCAUAUAACUCUUAAUUCUUCUAUCUUACCCACUAUAAUAUCCUCUUUAUCUUUCAUUUCUAUCUAUAUUAUCAAUGAUAUAAAAAUGAAUAUCACUCACAUUAUACAUCUAUUACAUACUUAAAAAAGACGUUUCAAAAGAACUUUCUCAUUUUACCAUGUGUUAAUUUAAAAAAAAAAUCACAUUUUUAUGUUGGGAUUUUUAAAUUUCUACCAAAAUUUGCAAAUUAAAAAACCACGACCCCAUGAUGAGUCAAACUAAAUCAUUUUUUGCCCAUAAAGGAGUUUACAAAAAUUUAAAAAAAAUAGUUUACCUCAGCAUGAUGGAGCCACAUUCUAAUUUUUCUUAAUCUUAAUCUUCCAUAUACCUAUUGUGUACUUUAGCAUUAAAUCUUAUUUCUAUGUGUCACAACCCGGAACUCCCAUCUGGCCCGUGACAACCGCCGCGACGUCUCGAUAGACACUCAUUAUCCCGAAUGCCGAUCGAAACCUCGCAAGACUUAGCAUUAGCUUCCGCAUCUUCCCGGUGAGCGACAGUUAUUUAAUCUCGCAUUUCAAGAAAUCAUAAGUCGUUUUCAAAUCAAAACAGUAAAAUAUUAUUUUCUGACUCACAGGAGCAUUUUCAUUAUUUUUCUUCAAAAAUAUCGAAACCCGUCAAAAUCAUGGUGUAAAAGAUAAAUAUGUUCAUACAUACUUUAAAUCAGAUAACUGAAGUAUGAAAUUAUUUUUACAGUGACACGUGGGCUCCCAACUGACCAAUAAGUUGUAGAGCUACGAACCCUUACUUUCUAGAAUGCAAGUCCAAGAUUAAUUAUCGUCUUAAUCAACUAUCAACAAAUUGUCCUGAGCCUGAAAAAUGGAUAGGAAGAGGGGUGAGAUUAUGAUUAUAUAAUCCCAGUGAGUAAACAAUUACCAUCAAAAACAUCUAAAGCCGAGUAGAUGGAGACAAUAUAAAAAUGUUAUAUCUCAAUAAUGUUCAUAAUGCAAAAAUCGUUUCAAUCUAUACCAAACAAUUUCUUUUCAUCAAAAUUUCCCUGGCUUAUGAGUUUCUUAAACUUGGCCCCUGCCAAAAUCAUUCUCGCGGGUACCUUCGUCAAGGUAUCUCACUGAGACCGCCAAGGCUGUUAAAUGUCUCAUACCCAUAAACAUAUUUUCGCAUCUGACAGACAGCCGUUCCUUGGCGUUAGCUGAGUCUCACUCUCACGUGGUGGUCCGAACAUGAGGUGCACUCAAAUCUUACCUCAGGAGAUACUUCAUCCAACAUCUCCCCCCGGAGGUAGUUAUAUAAUUGGGUUACCGUACCCCUUUCAUAAGCAGUCUACGGAAACCCCCACCAUUGCAGUGACCGUUUAAUAUACCAUCAGAUCCAUAAAAUUUCCAGUAGCAUAAUAUGGCGAAUAAAAUUUAAUCCAGUCUACCGAGACCAACCCCAAAAUUGUUCAUAUAUUUCAUGUCAAUCCCAAAAAUUUAGCCAUCAUGCUACCAUAGUGUCAUAAGCCACAAUUUCAAUAACAUAUAAAAUCAUAAAUUUCAACACAGUCUCCAUAUACUCAAUUUUCCCAAAACAAUAUUAGAUUUCAAAACCAGUAAAAAUCUCAUUUUUAUUUAAAAAAACAUUUUAAUUGGAAAACAUAAUAUUUUAUAAUUUAAACUCACCAUUUAAUAAAAGCAUCAAACAAGUAUAAUUACUCUGGAUAUUUAAGACGAUAAAAUGCCCACUCACAGUAUUAGGAGUAGAAAUACUCAUAUUUUCAGUCCACGGGUACAGUCCUUUACCCGUAUUCAAUGG
rnacentral:lncRNA from 1 species